rnacentral:rRNA from 1 species
GAGUUUGAUCAUGGCUCAGGAUGAACGCUAGCGGCAGGCUUAACACAUGCAAGUCGAGGGGUAUAGUUCUUCGGAAUUAGAGACCGGCGCACGGGUGCGUAACGCGUAUGCAAUCUACCUUUCACAGAGGGAUAGCCCAGAGAAAUUUGGAUUAAUACCUCAUAGUAUUAUGGAAUGGCAUCAUUUUAUAAUUAAAGUCACAACGGUGAAAGAUGAGCAUGCGUCCCAUUAGCUAGUUGGUAAGGUAACGGCUUACCAAGGCUACGAUGGGUAGGGGUCCUGAGAGGGAGAUCCCCCACACUGGUACUGAGACACGGACCAGACUCCUACGGGAGGCAGCAGUGAGGAAUAUUGGACAAUGGGCGCAAGCCUGAUCCAGCCAUGCCGCGUGCAGGAUGACGGUCCUAUGGAUUGUAAACUGCUUUUGCACAGGAAGAAACAACGCUACGUGUAGCGUCUUGACGGUACUGUGAGAAUAAGGAUCGGCUAACUCCGUGCCAGCAGCCGCGGUAAUACGGAGGAUCCAAGCGUUAUCCGGAAU